GGGCUUGUGGCUUAGCCAGGAUAGAGCGCCGGGCUUCUAACCCGGAUGUCGNNGGGUUCGAAUCCCCCCAGGCCCG
rnacentral:tRNA from 1 species